rnacentral:rRNA from 1 species
GAUGAACGCUGGCGGCGUGCCUAAUACAUGCAAGUCGAGCGAACAGACGAGGAGCUUGCUCCUCUGACGUUAGCGGCGGACGGGUGAGUAACACGUGGAUAACCUACCUAUAAGACUGGGAUAACUUCGGGAAACCGGAGCUAAUACCGGAUAAUAUAUUGAACCGCAUGGUUCAAUAGUGAAAGACGGUUUUGCUGUCACUUAUAGAUGGAUCCGCGCCGCAUUAGCUAGUUGGUAAGGUAACGGCUUACCAAGGCAACGAUGCGUAGCCGACCUGAGAGGAGGAGCGGCCACACUGGAACUGAGAACCGGUCCAGACUCCAACGGGAGGAAGAAGUGGGGAAUCUUCCGCAAGGGGCGAAAGCCUGACGGAGCAACGCCGCGUGAGUGAUGAAGGUCUUCGGAUCGUAAAACUCUGUUAUUAGGAAAGAAAAAAUGUGUAAGUAACUAUGCACGUCUUGACGGUACCUAAUCAGAAAGCCACGGCUAACUACGUG